rnacentral:rRNA from 1 species
UCAGCCACACUGGGACUGAGACACGGCCCAGACUCCUACGGGAGGCAGCGUGGGGAAUUUUCCGCAAUGGCGAAAGCCUGACGGAGCAACGCCGCGGAGGGAUGAAGGCCUCUGGGCUGUAAACCUCUUUUAUCAAGGAAGAAGAUCUGACGGUACUUGAUGAAUAA